rnacentral:rRNA from 1 species
UACAGAGGGGGCAAGCGUUGUUCGGAAUUACUGGGCGUAAAGGGCGCGUAGGCGGCCUGCUAAGUCGAACGUGAAAUCCCUGGGCUCAACCCAGGAACUGCGUCCGAUACUGGUUGGCUUGAAUCCGGGAGAGGGACGUGGAAUUCCAGGUGUAGCGGUGAAAUGCGUAGAUAUCUGGAGGAACACCGGUGGCGAAGGCGACGUCCUGGACCGGCAUUGACGCUGAGGCGCGAAAGCCAGGGAGCAA